rnacentral:rRNA from 1 species
AGUGAACGCUGGCGGCGUGCUUAACACAUGCAAGUCGAACGAGAACGGAUUAUAGCUUGCUAUAAUUGUCAGCUAAGUGGCGCACGGGUGAGUAAUGUAUAGAUAACCUGCCCUCUAGAAAGGAAUAACAGUUGGAAACGACUGCUAAUGCCCUAUAUGCCUUUAAUACAUAAGUAUGCAAGGGAAACGCUUUAGUGCUAGAGGAUGGGUCUGUAUGGUAUCAGUUAGUUGGUGAGGUAAUGGCUCACCAAGACUAUGACGCCUAACUGGUUUGAGAGGAUGAUCAGUCACACGGGAACUGAGACACGGUCCAGACUCCUACGGGAGGCAGCAGUGGGGAAUAUUGCACAAUGGACGAAAGUCUGAUGCAGCAACGCCGCGUGGAGGAUGACACAUUUCGGUGCGUAAACUCCUUUUAUAUAGGAAGAUAAUGACGGUACUAUAUGAAUAAGCGCCGGCUAGCUCCGUGCCAGCAGCCGCAGUAA